UACGGAGGGGGCUAGCGUUGUUCGGAAUUACUGGGCGUAAAGCGCACGUAGGCGGCUUUGCAAGUUAGAGGUGAAAGCCCGGGGCUCAACUCCGGAAUUGCCUUUAAAACUGCAUCGCUAGAAUUGUGGAGAGGUAAGUGGAAUUCCGAGUGUAGAGGUGAAAUUCGUAGAUAUUCGGAAGAACACCAGUGGCGAAGGCGACUUACUGGACACAUAUUGACGCCGAGGUGCGAAAGCGUGGGGAGCAAACAGG
rnacentral:rRNA from 1 species